AUUUAAAUAAUUUAAAAAAAAUAUUGAUUUGUGGAGUCAAAAAUAUGAUUAAGUCAUUUUAAAUC
rnacentral:tRNA from 1 species